GACGAACGCUGGCGGCGUGCUUAACACAUGCAAGUCGAACGGUAAGGCCCUUAGGGGUACACGAGUGGCGAACGGGUGAGGAACGCGUGAGUAACCUGCCCUUCACUCUGGGAUAAAAGUUGGAAACGGCUGCUAAUACCGGAUAUUCAGCUCCUGUCGCAUGGUGGGGGUUGGAAAGUUUUGGUGGUGGAGGAUGGGCUCGCGUCCUAUCAGCUUGUUGGUGGGGUGAUGGCCUACCAAGGCGUCGACGGGUAGCCGGCCUGAGAGGACGACCGGCCACAUUAAUACUGAGAUACGCCCCAAACUCCUACCGGACUCAGCAGUGAGGAAUAUUGCACAAUGGUCGGAAGCCUGAUGCAGCAACUCCACGUGCGGGAUGACGGCCUUCGGGUUGUAAACCGCUUUCAGCAGGGACGAAGCGCAAGUAACGGUACCUGCAUAAGAAGCACCGGCUAACUACGUG
rnacentral:rRNA from 1 species